UACGUAGGGGGCAAGCGUUGUCCGGAAUCAUUGGGCGUAAAGAGCGUGUAGGCGGCUUGGUAAGUCCGCUGUGAAAGUCCAGGGCUCAACCCUGGAAUGCCGGUGGAAACUGUCAAGCUUGAGUCCGGAAGAGGCGAGUGGAGUUCCUGGUGUAGCGGUGAAAUGCGCAGAUAUCAGGAGGAACACCAAUGGCGAAGGCAGCUCGCUGGGACGGUACUGACGCUGAGACGCGAAAGCGUGGGGAGCAAACAGG
rnacentral:rRNA from 1 species